rnacentral:lncRNA from 1 species
AAAGAUAUAUAAAUUUAUUACAAAAAAUAAAAUUAUAUAGGUAUUGCCCUUGGGAAAUCAUCUCAGCUAAUUUUGAAAAUAUUUUUGCUAAUUAUGAAAAUAUUUUCCCGUCGAAUUCCCUGAAUCCUGAGCUGUUGUAAAGCGUAGUUUGCGCGAACUAUUGAUGCUUGCGAAACAGUGGUUGACAGGAAAUUCGACGUGACUUGUCCUAUCAACUGUAGUAUAACUAAUGAAAUGUGAGUUGUAAGUUGAUAGAACUUGGGGGAUAAAAAAUUGUCAUUUAAAAGACUGACCAGUGAUAAAAAAUGCAAUGAAUGGCCAUUGCUCAGAUUAUAUGAAAAAUUAUAAAAAAAAAUAUAUAUGAGCUGAGAAAUCCCCCAAGUGGUAAGAUUUUAAGUGAGGUGGAAUUCAAAAGGGGGUAUAAAGGGAGCCUUCAAGUCGCAUGUGCUGAAAAAGUAUUAGAGAGAGAGAGAGAGAGAAACAAAAUGAAUAUAUACAAAUAUGAUGCACAAAACAUAACUGUAAAGUUUGAAUGUAUCUAGAAAAAUAAAACAGCAACUCGUCACAUGGCUGAAUAUUAAGAAAAUUAUAAGGUUCACAUGUGUUUCUUUUCACAUUCCAAGCAGGCUCUAAAUUGAAAUACGCGUUUUUUGGCAAAAAACUCAAUGACACAAGUUCUGUAAACACAGUGAAAUAUAAAUCCA